GAGAAGUGUUGGUCAUGAAGAGACUUCUAAUCUUUUUCAUAAGCAGUUCGAUUCUGUUUACUUCUUU